AUUGAACGCUGGCGGCAGGCCUAACACAUGCAAGUCGAGCGGAUGAAGGGAGCUUGCUCCUGGAUUCAGCGGCGGACGGGUGAGUAAUGCCUAGGAAUCUGCCUGGUAGUGGGGGAUAACGUCCGGAAACGGGCGCUAAUACCGCAUACGUCCUGAGGGAGAAAGUGGGGGAUCUUCGGACCUCACGCUAUCAGAUGAGCCUAGGUCGGAUUAGCUAGUUGGUGGGGUAAAGGCCUACCAAGGCGACGAUCCGUAACUGGUCUGAGAGGAUGAUCAGUCACACUGGAACUGAGACACGGUCCAGACUCCUACGGGAGGCAGCAGUGGGGAAUAUUGGACAAUGGGCGAAAGCCUGAUCCAGCCAUGCCGCGUGUGUGAAGAAGGUCAUCGGAUUGUAAAGCACUUUAAGUUGGGAGGAAGGGCAGUAAGUUAAUACCUUGCUGUUUUGACGUUACCAACAGAAUAAGCACCGGCUAACUUCGUG
rnacentral:rRNA from 1 species